GUCGCUCUUACCGAUGGACUUCUCUGUGAGUUUGAGGGACUGGAAACCUUUUUCUAUGGAAACUUAAACGAACAGUGUGGUCUAAAGGAAAGAG
rnacentral:rRNA from 1 species